ACUCUAUAAAUAAGGGGUAUUUCUCCAAAGAACACACAGACUUUAAGUCUGUCUCUCUCCCCUCUCUCGAUCUAUACAUAUACAAACAAGACAUACACACUUCAAACAAACACAGAGAACAUCAACUUUUCUACACACCCAAACCUCCUACCCUUCCCUCUCGUUCCCUCACCCUACUCUCAAGUAAUCGGCCACCACCAUCAUCGGUGGCGUGGUGGACGGCGUCAGACCUCUGUUUGAGCGAAAGAGAGAGAUCGGUGAUGAGAGAGAAACCCGAGAGAGUUAGAGUGAAAUCGGAGAGAAAGGAGAGCCACCGCUCACGGUGGCAGCGAGGCGGCGGACUAGCGGGACGGGAACAGAGAGAGGAGCAGAGAUGGAGUAAUAGAGAGAGAGAGAGACGCGAAGAAGAGAGGGCCGACACCCUCUUACCGGCGACCGCCGCCGUGCACGACGGAGUGAUGGCGGUGGGUGUCUUGGUUCGAUGAAUUCACGAUGAUAAAGACGGUGGUGGAUCUGGAUGGCUGAACGACACCCCCCCCCCAUUCGUUUCUCUGGAGCCGAUGAUGAUGAAGACGAUGGUAGUGUCCGUCUCCGAUGAAGAUAAUGAAGAUGAUAACCUGUUGAUGACGGACUUGGGUUCGGUUCAGUUUUGGUUCGAUUCAGUCUCGGCUUGGGUCACACGGUUCGUACUCGGUUCAGUUUUCGCGGCACGGUUCGACAGUUGGGAGUGGUGGUGUUAGCGUUAUGGUUCGGGUUCUGGUUCGAAAGUCUGAGCCGGUUAAACGUGGUCAAACAGUCAACAGGUCAGAUUCGGGUUCAGUCAACUGGUCAACACGGGUCAAACCGCAGUCAACAGCAGUCAACUGUCAGGUCAAACACGGUUAACUUAAGACCCAGUAAAGUUCAAACAACACGAAAUUUAUCUCGUUAGUUUAAUUAUAGUUCUAGAUUUCAUAUUAUACGCGACCGAGCUCGAAACCGAAUACAUUUAGUGAAUUACUUACGAUUUUGCAUA